CUUGACACUGCUCGAUUAAGGAGUGGCGGCAGUAACAUGCGUCACCCAGCAGCAAAUGCAUGCUCACCCUGGUGUUGAGAAGGUAACAGUCUUUUCAUACUGGGCAAAAACACAAACGUCUCGAAAUCAUUGUCCUGACUGUGCCGGACUUGCACCCUGUUUUCACAACACAAGGCAGUGGGGUCUAGAAGAGGGCGAGUGUGGUCUCAGACGGAAGUCCCGUAGAGUACCUGCACAAGUUGAUUUUUUACUGGAUAAUGGCGUGUUCAUAUUCCCUGAGGCCUUUGCGCACCGUGCCAAACCUCAUCCCUUCUUGCGUCAAGAUCUUGAAGGAAGAGUGGCCGCAUUGCAAGGCGCACCUUCUACCGGCGCUCGUCAAACAAGAGCUCGCACUCGCCCCUUGUUCCUACGGCUUGGUCCGACACGUACACGCAGGCGACGCAGGCGACGCACGCGAUGAAGGCACCCUGGUUGGCCACGUCCGACUCAUUCCAGUCACUAACAGACAGCGGGCAAUUUACGGCGAAAGCUUGUGUGUGGAUAAGGCAGAAAGGGGGCGGGGUCUUGGUGAAUUAAUUAUUGCAAGAAGGGAGGAGUUACUGAGGAGACUGGGAUACCUGGAGUUACAUGUGACUACCUAUGCCCACCGAAAGGAUUACUAUCUUCGCCGUUUCUAUUCCAUGCUAGAUAAGCCGGCGCAUACGCUUGGAGCAAAUAUCCUCCAAACAAGUGUUGCAGUGGGAACGCAUCCCUGCUUUGUCAGUUGGCAUGGCAACGUACUGUAUCCCGGCCUUGAGUCAGAAUACGAGGGCGGUGCCAUAGCAACAGAGAAAGAGGUUGCUGAUGGCAGCAGUGGUGUUUGCUUUGUGAAAUAUCUCCGGGGCACAGAGCACAUAAAUAGCGAGAAACGGGCUCAGACGUUGUUCCCUUAGUGGAUAAAAGGGAAGAGAGGGCAAUGGGAGAGGAAGUUUAUUUCUCCCGAUUUGUAAACUGCCAAUUUCUCUCCUCCCUGUUUGUAACUUGGCAGCCAUGGUUGCGAUUGCUUGAGUUAUUACGUACCAAAUUGAAACUUGUAUUAUGCUGUAACAGUGGUACCAAAAGUAAACGGGAUUUCACGGGGCUGCCCGAGAGUCCCCUCUCCCAUAAUAAAAGAGAAAACGUCCCAAAGAAUAACUACGUUUGAGAAUUACUGAAACAGCAAAUCGAAAAAUAACCCGAUCCCAUGCAGUGGGGAUCCAAUCCUAGGUCAACACAAGGUGCGCAACUGAAAUGCUUUACUUUCAACCGUUUGAAGUUGAACAUUUCAUAAAUGAGCUUUUAGCAGGUUGCUAUCCGAAACAUUAGCUAGCGGCGGCAGGGUUACAUGAGUGGACGCUAAAGUCUGAUUUCCCAAUGUCUUUAAUUUGGGUUACGUCACGUGAUAUUUUGUGCACGAUGUUGGGGAAAAGUUAACUGUAACAGAGCGCUGGAAUUGUUGAAGUGACAACAUUAAUAUUUAUGAACCUCGAGCUUGAACAAGAGAGGGCGCAAUUUCCCAGCAGCGCAGGCUGCGCAGGCUGCAUUGGUUGGAAAUGCACUUUGCUGGUUCACAAACGACCAUAAAAGACAUGCGUCACUUUUGCACCGCUACCAACAAAUUAACACUCCCUGCCAAACUGACUCUUUUCCACUGAUGAGGGUGCGUCUGCUCGAGGCGGUUUGUUUCCUCAUGAAGAAGAUGCGUUGCUUGACAAUGGAAGCUUACAUAAUAUUUGUGUGUACUUGUAAUAUUAAACGUAACAAUACAUGAAUGAGUUUACGUCCACUUGGCACUCUGGGCUUAUGGACAGUAUUCCGGGACUGUCUGUGUUUUGUGGCAUCAUUUGCUCUAAAUUUGAAGGUAUAGGCUGGAUGGGAUGGUAACCACAAAGGUGGAAGAACAUUCACAAAAGAGAAAACGUUAACUGUUAUUUCAUACUUCAGCGAAACGCGACAGCAAAGCAAAUCUGACGUCACAAACCGUUUGCAGCGUCAUUCGCUCCAGUUUAAACACAUUCAACUUUUGCGAACUUGCAACAUGAAUAUUUGAUUCGCGCCACAGCAGUUUGUGAGGUGGCUUCCCUCGUUUUUGAGGUGGUAGUCUCCCUCGUUUUGCUUACAUUUUAUCUCACUACAGUUUUAAAAUUGAGGUUCUUGUUGAACAGGAGGACAACGAGGCUUAAAAUAAAAUGCACAGAGGCAAGGGGACAAUAACUAACAUGGAAUUAAAGGCUUUGGUAUGAAGUGUUCGGAAUCCCUCAGAACUGGUCUUCUGUUGGUCCAACUCCCCCCAAGUUACUAGCACCAAUAUAGCAGUGCUCGUAAAAAAUUAGUUGUCGGAGAUAAAUUUUGCGUUAAUGUGCUGAGCUGCACAGCUGUGGUUUAGUCAGUUAGAGUUGGAUUUUCGUUAAAAAUGAAAUUUCAAAAAGGCUAAAACGUUAAACAUUGUGCUCUAUGACACAGCGACACUUGGGGCCUCCAAAUCUUUGUAGGUUCCCUAUUAUUUUCUCAGGCUCCAGGAGAGGCGGAUCUAGAGGGUGUAGGGGGGGAGUUGCAACCUCCUGUUCAUCCGCGGAUGAAAUGGAACUAGCAGUGAAAUGACGGGAAAUGUGUAACCCCCAGCCCCCCCCCCCAAAAAAAAAUCCCAGACGAGGAUCUAUCCAUCUGUAGUUUAGUUUUCUUUUCAUCGGGGAACGGUGCAUGGUGCUUUUGGAAACCCCGAGCAGGACAUCCCUUCAGUGCGCUCUUCGACCCCUGCCCCCUGUUUCCUGAAAGCUAGAUCCGCCCCGUCUAGGCACAGCGCCAGUUCGGGCCAAGUUCAGUCACGAAGUACAGUUCGACCAGUAGUCAAUUGCUUUUUAACAAUGCGCAUGCAGUUUCAUGUGAAUGGUUCCCUCUGUAAUGAUAAAUGAAAUCAGCUAUUGAUAACCAGCGAUGUGGCCGUUCCCCUUGGCCUGGUCCCAAAUGGUGGACUAGAUAGUCUAAACUAUCCAUUGUUCGGGCAGUGUUAGUCGGACCAUAAUUAACCAAAGUAGUCAUGGCUAGAACUUGCCCUCAGAUUUAAUAUAGAUACGCAAGCCCUGCUAGAACUUCAGUAAAUCAUUUCAACUCACACAAGGUUGCUGUACUAGGCUGUUUUCACGAUAAACGCUUUCAACUUAAGUUUCUUUGCAAAUAUCACAAGAAUAAAUGGCAUAAUUUAACGGCAAUCCCAUUCAUUUGUAUUUAUUAAAAAAAUCAAUACUUCAAUAUUGAUCAGUUGUCGAACUUUUUAAAAAUAUUGUGUACUUCUUUUGUCAUAACAAUCAUGCUACUGUAAUUAGCACAGUCUAUAUGUACACAAUUCCAAGGGGGUCCCCGGCUUACAGACCCCGCUUUUUGGAGUCCUCCUCCAAUUACUAUCGAUUACUUGCUUCAUAUAAAAGUGUCAGUGGACUCACUGUUUUGACAUGUAUAAGUGGAAAUAAA
rnacentral:misc_RNA from 1 species